GCUGGCGUUGACGGUGCCGCGCACAGUAAUUGCGACCCGGUUUGCGCCUGCCCGCGCGACCGGGUUUUUCGUU
rnacentral:sRNA from 1 species